GCCGCGCCCCCCGCUGUCCCCCGCGCUCCCCGGCUACUGCGGGCGGCGCUGCUGCUCCUGCUCCUGGUAGCCUCCGGCCGGCGAGCGGCAGGAGUAUGGGUGGCCCAUGAACUGCCUUGCCAGUGCUUGCAGACCCUGCAGGGAAUUCACCCCAAGAAUAUCCGAAGUGUGAACGUGAAGUCCCCUGGACCCCACUGCACCCAAACCGAAGUCAUA
rnacentral:lncRNA from 1 species